GUGGGGAAUAUUGGGCAAUGGGCGAAAGCCUGACCCAGCAACGCCGCGUGGAGGAAGAAGGUUUUCGGAUCGUAAACUCCUGUCCUAAGAGACGAGGAAGAGACGGUAUCUUAGGAGGAAGCCCCGGCUAACUACGUGCCAGCAGCCGCGGUAAUACGUAGGGGGCAAGCGUUGUCCGGAAUGAUUGGGCGUAAAGGGCGCGUAGGCGGCUCGGUAAGUCUGGAGUGAAAGUCCUGGCUUUAAGUUGGGAAUUGCUUUGGAUACUGUCGGGCUUGAGUGCAGGAGAGGUUAGUGGAAUUCCCAGUGUAGCGGUGAAAUGCGUAGAGAUUGGGAGGAACACCAGUGGCGAAGGCGACUAACUGGACUGUAACUGACGCUGAGGCGCGAAAGUGUGGGGAGCAAACAGG
rnacentral:rRNA from 1 species